GGCUUUCAAAUAUCCUCUCAAUAUAGCUUGGUUCACAAUCUUAUUGUUUCAUUGUGUUAUAUAUUCAAAUAGUCAUUUUUCCUUUUCAGCUCAUUUCCACAGAAUGUAGUAUUUCAUAAUAUUUUCUUGUUUUCAUCUACUUUUUGGACUUUAUUUGGUGGGGCAGUAUUGUUGGGGACACAUUGAUGAGUUACUCGCUCUCCCCAGUUUUAUUGAAUAUUUGAAUGUUCUUAUAGCUUUUCCCUCUCAUCUGGAGAACAUAAUGUACAAAGUAAUGAAAUAUAUUCCAUUCAACGAGAUGUAGCAAGCAUGUGGUUUCCUUCUGCUUUGCUGCAUAGAAUCUCUCGACCAGAGCUCAACAUCAAGAUUCAGAGCAUUUUGUUUCAGAAAGCUGUGAAGCUCUACUGAAAGGAAUAUGAAAUCAGAUAAAACACAUCUUACACCUAAAUCUAAUGGUAAGCCAACAUGCAAAAUAUUUUCUGGCCGAAAUAUGUUUACUUGAGUGAAAUGUGUGAAUUCUAUUCAUUUUUGGCUGGCUUCAGAGAAAAAUGGAAGUGGGUGCUAGGUGGCCUUGCCAGGAGAUGCCAUCCCAAAUUUCAAUAAAGCCAUAUGAAAUAAAAACAUUUUCUAAAAACUGUAAGAAACUCCUUUAGAAAACCAUAGAGAUAGGGAGAUCUAUAAUGAAAGUACAAAACUGGAAUUCAAAACCUUACAAAGACAGUGAAAGUUAAAGUAUGAGUAAGUAUUUCUCAAUGAAAAGCCAGCUAUAGUGCUGAAACCUUUUUAUAAAGUUUACCAAAGUUCAACUUACAGUAGAUUCUAUCAGUAGACUGGGAUUAAAGAUAUUUCCUAAUAUGAAAUUUCUAGAGAUUAACAUCUUGAAAUGUAUAGGAGAUUAAUGUCUUGAAAUGCUUUCUCUCCUCUAAUCUUAAAAGUUAGGCAGAGUAGGCCAGGAGAGCACCCAGGAAUAUGGGCAUAGACAAAUAGAAGUAGCUGUGAAAGAAUGUGAAGACAAGGGGAGAUUUUUUUUUCACCCUCAAGAGAGAAAGUACAGGAGCAGGUUUCUCCGAUGAUACGACAAUGAAAAGGCAGCCUGGGUCAACUCGCGAUGGGUUUUCCGGUCUUCUAAGUGGCAUGACUGCCUCAGGGUUAUAGGAUGAUGGCAUAGGAUGAGGAACUUGCUGAGGUUUUUUGUUUGUUUGUUUUAUCUGGUUUCUUAUUAUUUUGUUGUUGGUGUUGUUAUUUAAGAAGCAGUUCGAUGUAGAAGAAUGAACAUGGGCUUCGAGCUGACACUUAAAUUCAGAAAAUCCACCAGCCCGGAAGACACUGUUUGUUAAGCAAUAAGGUAGGAGGGGCACCAGCAUUGCAGAGAAUCUAUCAGUGGUGGUAGUCCUAUCUAGGCCAGGACUGAUGAUAGGAGAAGUUGUUACAGACCUGGGCUCCCUGAUAGCACUGGGGGCAGUAGAAUCCUACAAUAACAGUAGCCUCGUAGAGUGGAACAUAUCCACUCCUGAGGUUCCACUUCUCCUGAUCUUGGCUCUAAAAUUGACAGAGCAGACUUGUUUAGGUUGAGAAUUCAAACUACUCUGGAGUUCAACUACCUUAUAAUUAAGCCCUGGGCCUGAUGCCAAGGUUUACUGCAGGAGAUGUGACUUUCUUUAUAUGCUGCCAAGGGGUUCUUGACUCUCACACUUUGCCUUAAAUUGAUGAUUAGUCAUCCUCAAACUUUCGCAGUAAGUAACAUCUCGGUCUAUUGUUCUUAUACUUACUAAUAUCCCCCGACCUCUCAAACACCUGAAAUAUUUUGCCAGCAAAUGCAUGGUUUUUCAUCCUUGACAUUAUUGACAUUUUGGACAGGAUAAUUCUUUGUUGGGGGAGAGGGGCUGCAUUGUAGAAUAUUUAACAUCAUCCACUAGAUGACAAAAGCACCACUCCCUCCUCCUACCCUACCCCCGGUCAUAACUAGCAAAAUUAUCUCCCAACUUUGUCAAAUAUCCUAGGGAUUGAGCAAGAGGUAAUAACACACCAUUGAGAACCAUUUCAGUAGCUCAUCCCAGUUCACCACUGGAGAGUUUCAGCUACCGCUCGGCUGUGGCACACCAGGUGCUAUCUAUACUCCGCUGAUUACCAGUGAAGGUGCAUUUUGUCAUUAGGCCAGUGGUUAUUAGGUUCCAAAUUUCCCAUUUUAGAUUCUUCUUUCAUAGUGCAUUCCUGGCACCAACUGCUGUAGAUCAGGUUCCCAGGAGAACAGACUCUGGGAUGGACAUUUGCAUACAGGAAGCUGUCUGGGGCAUGCUCAGGGAAACAGCAUCUGAGAGGGAGUGAAGAAAGCAGGAGUGAGCAGAGGGAGAAGUUGAACUAGCGUGCAGUUGAAACAAAGAUCUCAGUCCCUCCCACAGAGAACACAGCUGUUACGAUGACCCCUCAAAAAUGUUCCAGAUUAAGGUAACUUUGUAUUUCUAAAUCAACCACCAUUGGAUGCCAGCUUCUGUCUCAGCUUCUUUUGGCUGAGGGUAAGUCCUAGGAAGUCCUCAGCUGUAUGCACAUCAGCAGCCAGCACUCCCAGCACCUGGAGGAAUGAGUGCUUCAUUAAGGCUGUGCAUCAAGACAUCCACUACAAACACUAAAAGAGAAAAAUCUUACAAAUAAUUUCUUCUGAAAAUAGUUGGUAAAGAAUUUAAUUUUACUGUAAAGAGAACCUGGUAAUGCCAUGGCAUCUUGUGACGUGGAGCGGUUAGCAAAUAUUUAUUGAGUGCAAAACACUAUUCUGGAUGCUAGGUAGUGUACUUCCAAUUGAUGAGUAACUUAACAAAAAGUUAAAUGCAUGAGGCUAGAUAAAAAUGAGAUGACAUACCAUGAAAUGUAAUCUAUAACAUCAAUUGCUUAUUUUUUACUGUAUUGUCAAGGACAAGAUGCAAGCUGGCGUAUUGCAAAUCAAAGCUCCUCAAAGAUUUCACGUGGCUCUUCCAAUAUCCUUGGGGUUGUCAUUUACGGUCUGUGUGGUGAACAUGACAAUGUCUCCAACACAUUUGGUUGAUUGAUUUGUUCAUGGAAAAAUCAAGCUUCCGUGUGAAUUCUCCUAAAAAAUAAACCAGUCUUCUUAAUUGGUCUGUGUCUUUAUUUUUCUUUCUUUUACUUGUUUGAUUUAUUUUUGUGGUGGCCCAUGUAGGAUGAUAGAAAAGUGUCUCCAGGGUAGUGGUGUUGGUGGUUGUUCUUAAAAUAUUUCCCACUGUUGAGUAUUGAUGACACCUUUAAAUGUCCUUCAUCUCAAAAGAAAUCUUGUCAUCCU
rnacentral:lncRNA from 1 species